ACAGCAGCAGCCGCGGGAAUACGAAGGGUGCAAGCGUUAAUCGGAAUUACUGGGCGUAAAGCGUGCGUAGGCGGUUUGUUAAGUCUGUUGUGAAAUCCCCGGGCUCAACCUGGGAAUGGCAAUGGAUACUGGCAAGCUAGAGUGUGUCAGAGGAUGGUGGAAUUCCCGGUGUAGCGGUGAAAUGCGUAGAGAUCGGGAGGAACAUCAGUGGCGAAGGCGGCCAUCUGGGACAACACUGACGCUCAUGCACGAAAGCGUGGGGAGCAAACAGGAUUAGAUACCCCCGUAGUCCCUGUCUCUUAUAC
rnacentral:rRNA from 1 species